rnacentral:rRNA from 1 species
CCUACGGGAGACAGCAGUGAGGAAUAUUGGUCAAUGGACGAGAGUCUGAACCAGCCAAGUAGCGUGAAGGAUGAUUGCCCUAUGGGUUGUAAACUUCUUUUAUAUGGGAAUAAAAUGUUCCACGUGUGGGAUUUUGUAUGUACCAUAUGAAUAAGGAUCGGCUAACUCCGUGCCAGCAGCCGCGGUAAUACGGGGGAUCCGAGCGUUAUCCGGAUUUAUUGGGUUUAAAGGGAGCGUAGGUGGAUUGUUAAGUCAGUUGUGAAAGUUUGCGGCUCAACCGUAAAAUUGCAGUUGAAACUGGCAGUCUUGAGUACAGUAGAGGUGGGCGGAAUUCGUGGUGUAGCGGUGAAAUGCUUAGAUAUCACGAAGAACUCCGAUUGCGAAGGCAGUUCACUGGACUGCAACUGACACUGAGGCUCGAAAGUGUGGGUAUCAAACAGGAUUAGAUACCCUUGUAGUC